rnacentral:tRNA from 44 species
AGGGGUGUCGCCAAGUGGUAAGGCAACGGACUUUGACUCCGUUAUGCGCUGGUUCGAUCCCAGCCACCCCUGCCA